rnacentral:rRNA from 1 species
AACCCGACUACAUGAAGCUGGAAUCGCUAGUAAUCGCGAAUCAGAAUGUCGCGGUGAAUACGUUCCCGGGUCUUGUACACACCGCCCGUCACACCAUGGGAGUCGGAAAUGCCCGAAGUCAGUGACCCAACCACAACGUGAACUUCGUUCGCGUGGAGGGAGCUGCCGAAGGUGGAGCCGGUAACUGGGGUNAAGUCGUAACAAGGUACC